CUCGAUCCCAGGACCCGGGGACCACACCCUGAGCCAAAGGCAGAUGCUCAACCACUGAGCCCCCCAGGCGUCCCAUCACAUAAUAAAAUCUUUUUUAAAAGGCCAUCUAUUUAAAUAACCUACCUAUGUUAUUAUUUCUUAAUUUAUAUAGUUCAGGCAUUUUCAAAUGAUCUCAUCCCGUGGUAGAUAUGGAUUUAACACAUUUCCAGAACCCCUGUGUUCCUUCCCUCUUAGUUUCUUUGUACACAUAUUACUAGUUUUAGUUCUAAAGUUGGUAAUUGUUGUAUCCUUAAGCAAUAUACUUACACUUUCUAUUUCUUAUUCCAUCAAGGACAGAUGGUGUCUCUUCACUCUCAGCUUGAAAAAUGAAGAUAUUAACAUCUCUACCCUCCUGAUUCAUUCUUUGAUUCUGUGAGACAAGGACCCUGCAAUCCUGUAACAAAAAUAGAUACACUGGACUUCACCAAAAUUAAAAUCUGUGCAUCAAAGGACACUGUCAGCAGAAUGAGGACAAUCUACAAAAUGGGAGAAAAUGUUUGCUAAUUAUGCAUCAGAUAAGGGGUUGAUAUCUAGACUUUAUGAAGAACUGUAACUCAACAGCAAAGAACCCAGUUCCAAAAUGGGCUCGAGGAGACAUUUCCACAAAGACCUACUGAUGGCCAAAAAACACAUGAAAAGAUGCUCAAUAUCACUAAUCAUUAGGGAAAUACAAAACUGCAAUAAGACACCAUCUCUCAUUGGGAUGGCUACAAUUAAAAAACAAACAGAAGAGAGCGAGUGUUGGUGAGAUUGUGGAAAAAUUGGAAACCUUGUGCACUGUUGGUUGGGAACAUAAACUGAUGCCGCUGCUAUGGAAAGUAGUAUGGUGGUUCCUCAAAAAGUUAAGCAUAGAAUUACCAUGUGAACCAGCAGGGCACUUCUAUGUAUAUGCCCCAAAGAAUUUUAAUUCAGGUUCUCAAAAAGAUAUUUGUGUACCCAUGUUCAUGGAACAUUAUUCAUAAUAGUUAAAAGAUGGAAGCAAUGCAAGGGUCCAUUGACGAAUGAAUGGGUGAACAGAAUGUGGUAUGUAUAUACAAUGGGAAUAUAUUUCGCCGUAAAAGGAAGGGAGCUCUGACACAUGCUACAAUAUGGAUGAACCUUGAAGACAUUAUGCUCAGUGAAAUAAGUCAGUGACAAAAAGAUAACUACAGUAUGAUUUCACUUACAAAAGACACUUAGAUGUUUUGGACUGAAUUGUGUCCCCCUUAAACUCCUGUGUUGAAGUGUAGCCCCCAGUGUGACCACAUGUGGAGAUAGGUUCUUUACAGAGAAAGUCAAGGUUAAAUGAGGUCCUAUUGGUGGGGUCCUGAUCCAGUAUGACUCGCGUCCUUACAAGAAUGAGAGACACCAGGGAUGCAUGCAUGCAGAGGAAAGACCCUAUAAGGAUAUAGCGAAAAGGCAGUCACCCUCAAGCCAAGAGAGAGACCUCAGGAGAGACCGGCGCUGCCAACACCUGGAUCGUGGAUUCGUAGCCUUCAGAACAAUGAGAGGAUACGUUUCUAUUGGUUAAGCCCCCCUGCCUGGAGUAAUUUGUUAUCGCAGCCUUAGCAGACUGAUACACUAGAGUAGUCGAAUUUAUAGAGACCGAAAGUAGAUUGGUGGUUUUCAGGGGUGAGGGGAGAAGGGCACGGGAGCUUUCAGUGGGCAUAAAGUCUAAGUUUUGCAAGAUGAGAAGAAUUCUGGAGAUGGAUUGCACAACAGUGUAAAUGUACUUUACAUCAUAGAAUUGUACAUUUAAAGAUGGUUAAGAUGGUAAAUUUUAUGUAUAUGGUACCAUAAUGAAAACAAAACACCUCCCUUGAUGCUGCAAAUCCCUCCCACCGUGGUGCGGUUCUUCUGCUCCGCUUUAGAGCAAAACUCCCGGAGAGAGAGAGUCGUUUAUAUUUGCUGUCUCUACUUCUUCAUGUCUCAUGUUUUUCUUAAACCCAUUCCAAUCAGGAUUUUCUGAAAUUGCUAUGUUCUGAGUCACUGCCACAAUUCCAGCCCAUUGGCAUUUUUUUUUGGCGGGUGGGGAUCCCUUGCUCUUCAAAAUACCUGUCCCCUUGUCUUCCUGGUUUUCCUCUUGCUUCUGCCUCAUUGGAUCUAGUUGGCUCCUCCUCCUGACUCUGUGAGGUACCCCAGGGCUCUGCCCCAGGCUUUGUAUGCUCACCCCCUGCCAGCUACACUGGUGAGUCUCAAAUCCCAUCUCUAGCCCCACCUUCCUUUGGAACUUCAUGCUGGGACAUCCACCUGCCCACUCAGCUUUGUCAUGAGGAUGUCCAACAAACAGGCAUCCAAAGUCAACAUGGGCAAAGCAAAUCCUUGACUUCUUCAGACUCUACUGCCUCCGUUGUUGGCUCUCUCAGUAAAUGGCACCACCUUGCAACCAGGUUAAAAAAAAAAAAACAAAAAGGCACCCCCAUAAUUGCACAG